CCUCAUCCAAUUCAGAGGGCGUGGAUUCCUGAGAGACGCGUGAGUGUUCUCCCUGGAAAACAUGUCUAUAAGCACACAGAGCUACGCACAUGCACACAAAGGCUGCAUAUUAUCAGGAGACAUUCCCAGGGCCCCAUGACACAGAUGCCCACUGUAACCUCACCCAUGGAAUGUUCAGGGCCCUUUCCCACCCAACCUCUUCCCCUUGUUCGCCCUUGGGUCUGUCCACCUCUUUGGCUGCUUUGUCCAGUGCCACUCAUGUGAUGUGCAGUGCUGACUUCCUCGUUCCUCCUCUAGGAUGGCCAGGAGUUAAGCCCCCCGGUUGUCACUGAGGUUGAUACCCCCAGGUUAAUGAAAUCCUGCAAGGAAAGCUGUAAGGUAUCCGAGGCCUCCAAGAAUCUGGUUCUGCGAUUCCUGAAGGAUUAUUACUUGAUCUACGACUAUGGAGAUCGACAGGGUCUCCUCAGCACUUACCACGACGAGGCCUGCUUCUCCCUGGCCACGUCCCUGGAUCCUGGACACCUAGACAUGUGAGCGUCACAGCUUAGACUCCGGUCUUGGGCUGUGCGUGGCUCCCCGGCAGACACGGCGUAGAGCCUGUGAACACACGUGCCGCCUGGACC